AGUGGCAACACAAGCGAAGCCGGGGAUGGCUGCGGGGGCCCCGACAAGAGUUUUCUUUUCUUGUUAACAAGUGCACUGACCCCGGAAUCGGAUUGACCGGAGAUUGGGUUAGCGGCUUGGGAAAGGCGGCUACUUUUGAGCCGUUUCGGUGCGCUCUCGACGUCCCUUGAAAACCUGGUGGCGUGUCUUAUUCGCACUCCUGGUCGUACUCAUCACCGCAUCAGGUCUCCAAGGUUAGCAGCCUCU
rnacentral:rRNA from 1 species